rnacentral:lncRNA from 1 species
GCGCGUGGUUUCCGGUGUGUAUUAACUUAUAGUUAAAUUCUGGAGGAAAGAGCAUUGUGAAUUAACAUAUACCAAAUCCAUCAUGGGCUUUUGUCAUAUCAGUCAGUCAUGGGUUUGGGGGAGCAACGUGCCUGGAUCGGGGUGUACCCACCCUCCAAACUUUGUGGAGCAAGCCUGCGGGUCUUGGGAAACAGGAAGGUAUUCCUAUCCAGCCCCAGUCAUUCGGGUCCCCCAGGCCUAGCGGCUGCACACCUGCGAGAUGGCGGAGGGACUGCAGACCCGGGUGCGGGAGGCCAGCGCCGGCGAAGGGAGGCAGGCGAGGGAGGCCCCUCCAGCGUCCUGCUGGGGUUGAGUUGGGGCGCCUCGGCCCGUGGCCGCUGGGUCGUCUGGUUUCCGCUUUCCCAAAGAAAUGAGAGGAGAGGCAAGUGGAGUCGCUGAACUUUAAUUAAACCGCAGAGAAGACAGUGAGGGGAGAGGAAAAAAAAAAAAAAAACACGAUCGGAGAAGGAGGAGGAGGCGGCCGAGAGAUCGAGGAAAGGAAGUCCCGGCGGCUCGGGGGAACUUGGAGAUCUCUCCAAGGGGCUGAAAGCUGGAAGUUGUAUGAAGGUGUUCCUUUCCCCCACCCCAGCUACUCCGCCCCAGUCGAAAAGGCUAAUUCUAGACCUCUUAUUUUUAAAAAAAGAAAGAAAAGGUCACCUGAAGUCCCAACCCCCAUGUAUCUCUCAGUGCCUGUCUGGUCCAGAGGGAGCCAGUGACUCUGCCAGCACAUCACCAUUUUGUGCCCCACCAGGGGGUGGUCCAUGGAGUCAUCUCAGCUUUCAGCCCAGACCUCGCUCACUCUUUCCCCAAGCCACGCCAACAUUCCUUGGUCUCUCCCAAGCCAGGAGGCAGAUAUUUAUUGGGCAUCUUCAACAACCAGGCUCUGUUCAUGGUGCUGAAGAACAGCAUGUAUGAACAACCCUGCCCUCACAUGGCGGCCACCGGUGACCUGUGGUGUGGAUUCUCCUGUUACCUCUGUCUCCUCCUUCCUGCUGUCAUCAUCCUUGGUCCUCCUCUGUCACCUGGAAUCCUCCACUUGGUAACCAGCAGGAUCUUAUAACCCUAGUUCUACCCUUGUCAGCACUUUGCCAAAAACCUCAAAUAAAGACUUUUUUUAAAAUGUGGGAUGGAAAAUU